GCUGCUUCCGUUGAGUGAACCAGUGGAAUGCAGGCCGGUUCCGAUUGCGGCACCGGAGCAUUUGGUGACACUGCUCUCUUCGCUGGAUGCCUUCAACCGGAUUCGAUUCCCGUGUCCUGGACAGUGCUGACAGGUCCUGCGGAGGAGGAGCAACAGAACAACCCGAUCAACUCAAGCUGUUCCAACAGUUAGUAGUGUGGGGGUUGUA